CUAGCCGUAAACGAUGGAUACUAGGCGUUGUGAGUAUCGACCCUCACAGUGUCGUAGCUAACGCGUUAAGUAUCCCGCCUGGGGAGUACGCGCGCAAGCGUGAAACUCAAAGGAAUUGACGGGGGCCCGCACAAGCGGUGGAGUAUGUGGUUUAAUUCGAUGCAGCGCGAAGAACCUUACCAGGACUUGACAUGUCGCGAAUCUCAGGGAAACUUGAGAGUGCCUUCGGGAGCGCGAACACAGGUGGUGC
rnacentral:rRNA from 1 species